rnacentral:rRNA from 1 species
UACGAAGGGGGCUAGCGUUGUUCGGAAUUACUGGGCGUAAAGCGCGCGCAGGCGGCUAUCCAAGUCAGUGGUGAAAGCCCGGAGCUCAACUCCGGAACUGCCAUUGAAACUGUUUAGCUUGAGGACGAGAGAGGUGAGUGGAAUUCCCAGUGUAGAGGUGAAAUUCGUAGAUAUUGGGAAGAACACCAAUGGCGAAGGCAGCUCUCUGGACCGUUACUGACGCUGAGGCGCGAAAGCGUGGGGAGCAAACAGG